rnacentral:rRNA from 1 species
UACGUAGGGUGCAAGCGUUAAUCGGAAUUACUGGGCGUAAAGCGUGCGCAGGCGGUUUUGUAAGUCAGAUGUGAAAUCCCCGGGCUUAACCUGGGAACUGCGUUUGAAACUACAAGGCUAGAGUGUGACAGAGGGAUGCGGAAUUCCAGGUGUAGCGGUGAAAUGCGUAGAUAUCUGGAGGAACACCGGUGGCGAAGGCGGCAUCCUGGACCAACACUGACGCUGAGGAGCGAAAGCCAGGGGAGCAAACGGG